rnacentral:rRNA from 1 species
GAUGAACGCUAGCGGCAGGCUUAAUACAUGCAAGUCGAGGGGUAACAUGGUAGCAAUACGGAUGACGACCGGCAAACGGGUGCGGAACACGUACAGAACCUUCCUUUAAGCGGGGGAUAGCCCAUAGAAAUGUGGAUUAAUACCCCAUAGUAAUGUUUAAUGGCAUCAUUAGAUAUUUAAAGAUUUAUCACUUAAAGAUGGCUGUGCGGCUGAUUAGGUAGUUGGUGCGGGAACGGCCACCAAGCCAGCGAUCAGUAACUGGUGUGAGAGCACGACCAGUCACACGGGCACUGAGACACGGGCCCGACUCC